rnacentral:rRNA from 1 species
AUUGAACGCUGGCGGCAUGCCUUACACAUGCAAGUCGAACGGUAACGGGCCUUCGGGUGCCGACGAGUGGCGAACGGGUGAGUAAUACAUCGGAACGUGCCCGAUCGUGGGGGAUAACGAGGCGAAAGCUUUGCUAAUACCGCAUACGAUCUACGGAUGAAAGCAGGGGACCGCAAGGCCUUGCGUGGACGGAGCGGCCGAUGGCAGAUUAGGUAGUUGGUGGGAUAAAAGCUUACCAAGCCGACGAUCUGUAGCUGGUCUGAGAGGAUGAUCAGCCACACUGGGACUGAGACACGGCCCAGACUCCUACGGGAGGCAGCAGUGGGGAAUUUUGGACAAUGGGCGCAAGCCUGAUCCAGCCAUGCCGCGUGCAGGAUGAAGGCCUUCGGGUUGUAAACUGCUUUUGUACGGAACGAAAAGCCUUCUUUUAUUACAGGAGGGUCAUGACGGUACCGGAAGAAUAAGCACCGGCUAACUACGUG